AUCCUUGGGUAAGCCAGCUGCCAUGUCAUGAGGACACUCAAGCAGCCCUAAGGAGAGAUCCAUGUGGCAAGGAGCUGAGCCCUCUCACCUACAGCCACUUUUGUUGAUGAUGAGAUGCCGUCAGAGAUAUGACUUCAUUAAACACAAUAGUCUGACGCAGUGCUGACACAUAAAAAGUGCCUGAUAUUUGUUGAGCACUGGCUGUUAAAUGGGUAAACAACAGUAAAACCUAAAUCUUGUGUAUCUUCCAGAACUUCAGAGUGUGUUUCUGGGGAGAAAAUAAUUAUGUGCUCUCCUGGUCAUUGAGAAUUAUAUGGAAUGGCAUCAAAAUAGGAGUCACUGUGAAUCUUCACAUCUCACAAGGAAAAUUGCUUACUGGGGUAUAUUUACUUUUUUGACGUCUAGUUAGUAGAUUCGGGGUAAAUUACACUGAGUAUUCUUAUGAAAGGUGCCAUGUUAUUUGCUUCUGCCACCCUCCACUGACAUUCAUGGCUUCUUCCUCUCUGGUCUUCUCUUCUAUCUACUCCAUAAAUAUGGGAUUAUCUCAGGCUUCAAUCCUUGAUCUCUGUUUUGUAAUGUAUAGACACUAUCCCUUGGAAAUAUUAGUCACUUGUAUGACUAUUAUGUUGAUAUAGGUAAAAUUAUUUUAAAUAAUAAUUAGAUAAGUAAAUAGUAUUAAUUAAAAUCCCAAUUCAUAAUUCUGCUGCUUAUGGGCAGAAGACCUAAAUAGACAUUUCUCCAAAGAAGACAUACAGAUGGCCAAUAAACACAUAAAAGGAUGCUCAACAUCACUAAUCAUUAGAGAAAUGCAAAUCAAAACUGCAAUGAGGUAUCACCUCACUCCGGUCAGAAUGGCCAUCAUCAAAAAAUCUACAAACAAUAAAUGCUGGAGAGGGUGUGGAGAAAAGGGAACCCUCUUGCACUGUUGAUGGGAAUGUAAAUUGAUACAGCCACUAUGGAGAACUGUAUGGAGGUUCCUUAAAAAACUAAAAAAUAGAACUACCAUACAACCCAGCAAUUCCACUACUGGGCAUAUACCUGGAGAAAACGAUAAUUCAAAAAGAGUCAUGUACCCCAAUGUUCAUUGCAGCACUAUUUACAAUAGCCAGGUUAUGGAAGCAACCUAAGUGUCCAUUGACAGAGGAAUGGAUAAAGAAGAUGUGGCACAUAUAUACAAUGGAAUAUUAGCCAUAAAAAGAAACAAAAUUGAGUUAUUUGUAGCUAGGUGGAUGGACCUAGAAUCUGUCAUAGAGA